AGAAAGUUCAAAGUCGCCAUGAAGUAAUCCUUUACAGGGAUGAAUUUGUUGUGCUUCACUUCAACAUUGAUGAGUGAUGAGACACCAGUGUCAUGACUGCUGAGAUUGGUGUUAUUCUCAUGUGGAUGAUCUCCUCCUCAUCCACAAACACCAGUGAUGUACCAGGCAAGUCUGGCCCUUGUUGGUGCUGCAAGUGGUGUGGCAGGUGCCUCCUCCUCAACACCAACUGCCUCGGUCACCACUUCUCUCUGUUGGGCUG